rnacentral:rRNA from 1 species
GAUGAACGCUGGCGGCGUGCCUAAUACAUGCAAGUCGAGCGAACGGACGAGAAGCUUGCUUCUCUGAUGUUAGCGGCGGACGGGUGAGUAACACGUGGAUAACCUACCUAUAAGACUGGGAUAACUUCGGGAAACCGGAGCUAAUACCGGAUGAUAUUUUGAACCGCAUGGUUCAAAAGUGAAAGACGGUCUUGCUGUCACUUAUAGAUGGAUCCGCGCUGCAUUAGCUAGUUGGUAAGGUAACGGCUUACCAAGGCAACGAUGCAUAGCCGACCUGAGAGGGUGAUCGGCCACGCUGGGACUGAGACACGGUCCAGACUCCUACGGGAGGCAGCAGUAGGGAAUCUUCCGCAAUGGGCGAAAGCCUGACGGAGCAACGCCGCGUGAGUGAUGAAGGUCUUCGGAUCGUAAAACUCUGUUAUUAGGGAAGAACAUAUGUGUAAGUAACUGUGCACAUCUUGACGGUACCUAAUCAGAAAGCCACGGCUAACUACGUG